rnacentral:lncRNA from 1 species
AAAUAAAUCAACCUAACGAGGCCGCCAGGAAGGACCGACUACAGAGAUUCGUCCUGCCCAGACAUUUUGUACUCGCUUCUUGACCCCUUCCUCAAAAUGGACGGUAGAUGAAAACUCACUAUGCUGCCCAGACUCGUCUCGAACUCCUGGGUGUCACGCGUGUCCGUAUAGAAGACCACCUAAACAGGCUUUGUGUUCACGUGUUGAAAUCCUAACUCCAAAUAUGAUGAUAGGAGGAGAUGGGGCCUUCGGGAGGUGAUGAGGUCAUGAGGGUGGAAUCCUCAUGAAUGGUCUCAACGCCCUUAGAAAAGAGACCCCAGAGACCUCGCUCCCGCUUUCUACUGUGGGAGAAUGCAGCAAGAAGUCAGCCGUCUAUGAACAAGGAAGCAGGUCCUCUCCAGGCACUGAAUGUACCAGUGCCUUGAUCUUGGACUUCCCAGCCUCCAGAACUAUGACAAUAAAUUCUGUUGUUUAAGCUACAUGGUCUAUGAUACUUUUGUUAAAGAAGCCCAAAGUGACUAAGACAGGCAUCAAACAAUAUAUUGUCCUUU